AAGAGGCUGCGAGGUAUCCAGGGAAGGGAAAUGGCUGACCUAUUCAGACCGAUCCUUUGGCUAAUGUUACAAGCCUCCGUGGAAGGAACACCAUGAAUCUUGGUAGCUUACGUGAAUAUGCUAUGGAACGACAGACAGCUUGCUCUUAGUACAUCUGGUGCGUUGUGAAGAACAUUGGUAUUAACACUUGAGACUCAGAACAGUGUAUCUGCGAGUCAGUGGAGGAACGGCAUACCAGAUGACUAACUGUGCAAGAUGCAUCUGGAGCAGGAUGGAAGAUGCAUCACAGAUGAGGGGAAAGAGACCGUCGUGUACACAAAUGGUGGUAAUAACUGUGAGUCGAAGCUACUCACGACUGACAAAUCAUCACAGCAUUCCUCGCUUGAUUCCAAAUUCCUCCUCAUGUUAGUGACAAUUUCUGGCACAAAGUACCAGAACAGUCCACGGAAGAUGCCAUCUCUCAGCCGUCACCCAGAUGUGAUUUCAAGUCAUGUAAACAUUAAGCGAGCCACUGCAUCCCUGUUGACAGGGUCCAUGCAUAAUUACACGCUUUGAUGACUCAGUCGGUAAAUCUGGCAUGAGUCAGCAUCAUGUCCUACGACACAGUCACACGUGUGAAGAUGUCCAGGAGGAACUGCCAUCAGAAUCUGAAGGCUGAGCUGAUGAUUUUGGCCAUGACAUCCUGUGGGUUCUAGGUCCCUCUUUUGUUUAUAGAUGCCUCCUCUACAGAACCACACGGCUCCUCAACCUCACACUUACUAACAUUUUGAACAGACUGCUAGCAGUGUUCUUGACCCAUAUAUGCUGGAUACCCACUCACCCUACUCUAGAGUUGGAACAAAUAUCAAUGUGUCCAGACAUUGCCAAGUAAACUCUGGGGGCAAAAUUGCCCUGAGUUGAGAAAUACUGGGCUACAAAACAAUAUUACCUCUUUAGGUUAGCACUUGUAUUGCUUAUGUCAAGGGUUUAAGGUGUUGAAAGGAAGCCUAUACAUGACCUGUGAGAAACAAGAUAACUAGACAGAGUAAUAGCUAGCCAUGUUCCAAGGUGCAUUAGAGCAGAGCUCAGCUUAGUUCAAGCAGUGGAAUGUCUACUGGGUGGUGUUACACAGACUCCUCCUUCCCUUCCUUUUCCCUUUCUCCCCCCUUUCUUCCCCCUCCUAUUUAAAUGAUGCAAUUUGGUGCAUAGAAUGAAUGAGAUAAAUAUAUU